UACGCUCAGUCCGGGGAGGGGACCCCGUAU
rnacentral:sRNA from 1 species